CUGAUAUGAACUAUGAGGAAGAAUUAUUCCAGCUCAAGGAAAUUCAAAUUACCCUGACUGACUUGUUAUGGGACCCCACAGGUACCAUGCUCAUCUUAGUCCAUCUUCCAGAGAACAUGACACAUCUCUACCAUCAUUGGGAAACAGCUAUCCCACACAUAUCUCUCACCAGAUCCCCUGACACCUCAUGGAAAGACCUAGGCCCGAUGGCCAAGACCUGGAGUCAAAUGAACCAAGAACAACUGACUUCUAUGGGGGCCAGCAAAAAGACUAUUAACUACUGUACAGCAGGGUACCCUAGGUACCACACAGACGUCUGUGAGGACCCGCUCAUCAUAGACUGUGACCCUGAUAUUUCCCCACUUAGCUGAUCAGGCCGCUAAGGAAGCAGCACGACAAGGAUGGGAAGUGGACAGAAGAGUGGCCACAGACGCAGUGCCCAUCUACACCAUGC